ACGGGUAGCCGGCCUGAGAGGGUGACCGGCCACACUGGGACUGAGACACGGCCCAGACUCCUACGGGAGGCAGCAGUGGGGAAUAUUGCACAAUGGGCGCAAGCCUGAUGCAGCGACGCCGCGUGAGGGAUGACAGCCUUCGGGUUGUAAACCUCUUUCAGUAGGGAAGAAGCGAAAGUGACGGUACCUGCAGAAGAAGCACCGGCUAACUACGUGCCAGCAGCCGCGGUAAUACGUAGGGUGCGAGCGUUAUCCGGAAUUAUUGGGCGUAAAGAGCUCGUAGGCGGUUUGUCGCGUCUGUCGUGAAAGUCCGGGGCUUAACCCCGGAUCUGCGGUGGGUACGGGCAGACUAGAGUGCAGUAGGGGAGACUGGAAUUCCUGGUGUAGCGGUGGAAUGCGCAGAUAUCAGGAGGAACACCGAUGGCGAAGGCAGGUCUCUGGGCUGUAACUGACGCUGAGGAGCGAAAGCAUGGGGAGCGAACAGGAUUAGAUACCCUGGUAGUCCAUGCCGUAAACGUUGGGCACUAGGUGUGGGGACCAUUCCACGGUUUCCGCGCCGCAGCUAACGCAUUAAGUGCCCCGCCUGGGGGAGUACGGCCGCAAGGCUAAAACUCAAAGGAAUUGACGGGGGCCCGCACAAGCGGCGGAGCAUGCGGAUUAAUUCGAUGCAACGCGAAGAACCUUACCAAGGCUUGACAUGUUCUCGAUCGCCGUAGAGAUACGGUUUCCCCUUUGGGGCGGGUUCACAGGUGGUGCAUGGUUGUCGUCAGCUCGUGUCGUGAGAUGUUGGGUUAAGUCCCGCAACGAGCGCAACCCUCGUUCCAUGUUGCCAGCACGUAAUGGUGGGGACUCAUGGGAGACUGCCGGGGUCAACUCGGAGGAAGGUGAGGACGACGUCAAAUCAUCAUGCCCCUUAUGUCUUGGGCUUCACGCAUGCUACAAUGGCC
rnacentral:rRNA from 1 species